GGGCUGCCAGGGCCUCCGUAAAGCUAGGCCUGCUGGGAGAGGACAAAGAGGAGGCUCUGCCCCUCCAAACGUGGCCUCCUAUGGACACCAAGAUUCACAGCCUUCCUAUCACCCACACCCAGCUCCAUAGCAACUCUCGGCCCCAAAGCCGCACCUGCAGCCCAUGCACCUGUACCCGCCACUGCCAGACCUUCAGCCAGAGUUGCAGACAGAGGCAGUGUGGCAGCCGGAGCAGGAGCUCCAGCCAGAGCCCAGCCAGCCACCAUAACCUAACUGGAGCCCACAGCUCAUCCGGCUGCCAGAGCCAGAGUACCAACGCCAGUCCACCACCAAAGUGCCACAAAAAGACUAUGAACUCCCACCACUCUCCCAUGCGGCCCACCAUCCUGUGCUGCAGCUGCCCCAAGAACAGAAAGAACUUGGGAGGCAAGCUGAACAAGAAAAAAAUGGCCAAGAGGAUCCAGCAGGUGUACAAAACCAAGAAGCAGAGCUCAGGUACCCUUUAAGGAGGUGGGGAAGGGCCACUGAGCCCACAGAUGAUGGGGAGCAGACUUGGGGGCAGUGAGAAGAAGGCUGCAGCCAGGUCACACAGGAACCACAGGACGGAAAUCCAACUAAUGAGACCACACUCCUUGGCUUGUUCCUGCGUGUUCCACCCAAAUGAGAAAAUGCUAGGAUGAGAAAAUGCUAGGAUGAGGUCAAUCUUCUUGCAGGAACAUGCUACUAUGGUGAUUUCUACGCAACACUAAUUAAAGCUUGUACCUGGAAGACUA